UACGGGGGGGGCAAGCGUUGUUCGGAAUUACUGGGCGUAAAGGGCUCGUAGGCGGCCAACUAAGUCGGAUGUGAAAUCCCCAGGCUUAACUUGGGAACUGCAUCCGAUACUGGAUGGCUUGAAUCCGGGAGAGGGAUGCGGAAUUCCAGGUGUAGCGGUGAAAUGCGUAGAUAUCUGGAGGAACACCGGUGGCGAAGGCGGCAUCCUGGACCGGCAUUGACGCUGAUGAGCGAAAGCUAGGGGAGCAAACAGG
rnacentral:rRNA from 1 species